AGCCAGUUCAAUUACCACUGCCUACUACAGGGGAGCAAUGGGCAUCUUACUUGUGUAUGAUGUCACAGACGAGUCAUCUUUCAAUAACAUAAGAAAUUGGAUCAGAAACAUU